UAUGGAAAGUCUACAUCACAGGAUAUGUCACUGGAUGGAUGAGGAGACACAUAUCCACAAAGGGUUCAUUCAUCUGUGAAGCAGGCCAGAAACUUCCUCCAUCUUUGUGACAAUCUGUAAAGUACAGCAGGAGCUUCCUCCAUGUUUGCGACAAUCGGUAAAGUACAGCAGGAGCUUCCUCCAUGUUUGUGACAAUCGGUAAAGUACAGCAGGAGCUUCCUCCAUGUUUGCGACAAUCGGUAAAGUACAGCAGGAGCUUCCUCCAUGUUUGUGACAAUCGGUAAAGUACAGCAGGAGCUUCCUCCAUGUUUGUGACAAUCGGUAAAGUACAGCAGGAGCUUCCUCCAUGUUUGUGACAAUCGGUAAAGUACAGCAGGAGCUUCCUCCAUGUUUGUGACAAUCGGUAAAGUACAGCAGGAGCUUCCUCCAUGUUUGUGACAAUCGGUAAAGUACAGCAGGAGCUUCCUCCAUGUUUGUGACAAUCUGUAAAGUACGGCAGAAGCUUCGUCCCUGUUUGUGACAAUCUAUAAAGUGCAGCAGAGGCUUCAUCCAUAUUUAUAACAAUCUGUGAAGUACGAUAUGAGCUUCCGCCAUGUUUGUGACAAUCUGUGAAGUACGGCAGAAGGGUCCACCAGGUUUGUGUCACUUUGUGCUGCUCAUUUGAAUUCAGCACUUCAGGGGGCAUUAUAUAUUGCCCAAAUACAAUAUUAUACAUGGAUGCUGACUGAGGUGAAACUGUAGUCCCAAGAACACCUAUAUGCACAAGCCGUGGGCAACGUUCUUGGAUUUGCCUGGAUUUAACGAUUGCUGUUACUUGCCCAACAAGUCCUUUUGUACAGCGAGUCACUGAGUUUGCAGCUUGGCCGCAAAAGACCCAGUUGCACUGGGAGGUUUCCAUGUAACAAAUGUCUGCAGCAUACAUUUUUUUCAAUAGCUGGAUAUCUUUACAUAUUUUUUAAAUUCUUAUACAUAAUAACGAUUUGUAACAGCUUCCUUCACAGUUUAAAAUAUUGCAAGGAAGCCAACAUAUAUUCAUCUGUAACUCUCUAACCAGGACUAUUUACAGCUUCAAAACACAUAAAUACAGAAAAUGGAUCCAAUCUGUGUGACAGACAACAAUCCAGAUCUUCGUGGAGGCACAUAACUGACCAGCAAAGCAUUAGGAAUGAUAAGAUACAUACUUUGUAAGAUAUAGGAUUUUCCAGACGCCUAAAAGCUGACAAACGUGCUGGCUGUGUACUUAGUUAUAUAAAAAAAGAAAUCUAAAAUAGCCUUGACCACGGCCAGCAGAAAUUUGGUGAAACAAAAUUUGGUUCUUUAAAUGGUUUAAAACACAUAAAGCACAUUUGUGCGCGGUUUCUCUCUCUUCUAGGCUGACGGACAUUUUUCUUAGAUUUUUUUUGUGAGUUAUGUUUUUGUUUUUUGUUUUACAGAUCCAUUCCAAAUUUGAAAUACCUCCUACUCAACGCAAAAUAAGGCUCGAGGAGUCUGUAUGUUAUAAAGCAAUGAAGCAUAAAGUGCAGACGCUGUCUCCGUUGUGUAGAGGUAGCCAAUUUGUAGGCUGCACCAAUAUCCAUGAAAAAAAAAAAUAUCCUC